rnacentral:rRNA from 1 species
AUUGAACGCUGGCGGCAUGCCUUACACAUGCAAGUCGAACGGCAGCACGGGUGCUUGCACCUGGUGGCGAGUGGCGAACGGGUGAGUAAUACAUCGGAACAUGUCCUGUAGUGGGGGAUAGCCCGGCGAAAGCCGGAUUAAUACCGCAUACGAUCUACGGAUGAAAGCGGGGGACCUUCGGGCCUCGCGCUAUAGGGUUGGCCGAUGGCUGAUUAGCUAGUUGGUGGGGUAAAGGCCUACCAAGGCGACGAUCAGUAGCUGGUCUGAGAGGACGACCAGCCACACUGGGACUGAGACACGGCCCAGACUCCUACGGGAGGCAGCAGUGGGGAAUUUUGGACAAUGGGCGAAAGCCUGAUCCAGCAAUGCCGCGUGUGUGAAGAAGGCCUUCGGGUUGUAAAGCACUUUUGUCCGGAAAGAAAUCCUUGGCCCUAAUACAGUCGGGGGAUGACGGUACCGGAAGAAUAAGCACCGGCUAACUACGUG